GAACGAGAAAGUGGAGCAAUCCAUGAGUACAGUGGCGUACGGGUGAGUAACACGUGGGUGAUCUACCUUUUAGUGAGGAAUAACCGAGGGAAACUUUGGCUAAUACCGCAUAAGCCCGAGAGGGGAAAGCAGAAAUGCGCUGAAAGAGGAGCCCGCGGCCGAUUAGCUAGUUGGUGGGGUAAGAGCCCACCAAGGCAGAGAUCGGUAGCCGGCCUGAGAGGGCACACGGCCACACUGGCACUGAAACACGGGCCAGACUCCUACGGGAGGCAGCAGUGGGGAAUCUUGCACAAUGGGGGAAACCCUGAUGCAGCGACGCCGCGUGAGCGAUGAAGCCCUUCGGGGUGUAAAGCUCUUUCGUCAGGGAAGAUCGUGACGGUACCUGGAGAAGCAGCUGCGGCUAACUACGUGCCAGCAGCCGCGGUAAUACGUAGGCAGCAAGCGUUGUUCGGAGUUACUGGGCGUAAAGGGUGUGUAGGCGGUUCUUUAAGUUUGGUGUGAAAUCUCCCGGCUCAACUGGGAGGGUGCGCCGAAUACUGAGGGACUAGAGUACGGGAGAGGAAAGUGGAAUUCCUGGUGUAGCGGUGAAAUGCGUAAAUAUCAGGAGGAACACCGGUGGUGUAGACGGCUUUCUGGACCGACACUGACGCUGAAACA
rnacentral:rRNA from 1 species